GGCAGCGAUGAUGACCAAAUAAUCUUCUCGAUGAAUGCGAAAAUGAUCGCAUCAAAGAACAUCUAAGGGACUGAGUUGCC